GACGAACGCUGGCGGCGUGCUUAACACAUGCAACUCGAACGGAAAGGCCCUGCUUUUGUGGGGUGCUCGAGUGGCGAACGGGUGAGUAACACGUGAGUAACCUGCCCUUGACUUUGGGAUAACUUCAGGAAACUGGGGCUAAUACCGGAUAGGAGCUCCUGCUGCAUGGUGGGGGUUGGAAAGUUUCGGCGGUUGGGGAUGGACUCGCGGCUUAUCAGCUUGUUGGUGGGGUAGUGGCUUACCAAGGCUUUGACGGGUAGCCGGCCUGAGAGGGUGACCGGCCACAUUGGGACUGAGAUACGGCCCAGACUCCUACGGGAGGCAGCAGUGGGGAAUAUUGCACAAUGGGCGGAAGCCUGAUGCAGCAACGCCGCGUGCGGGAUGACGGCCUUCGGGUUGUAAACCGCUUUCGCCUGUGACGAAGCGUGAGUGACGGUAAUGGGUAAAGAAGCACCGGCUAACUACGUG
rnacentral:rRNA from 1 species